AUUAGGGGACAGGUUAAGGUGGAACACAGGCCCACACAACAGGAUGUAACCACUAAUGAUUCUGUCAGAUUAGGGGACAGGUUAAGGUGGAACACAGGCCCACACAACAGGAUGUAACCACUAAUGAUUCCGUCAGAUUAGGGGACAGGUUAAGGUGGAACACAGGCCCACACAACAGGAUGUAACCACUAAUGAUUCCGUCAGAUUAGGGGACAGGUUAAGGUGGAACACAGGCCCACACAACAGGAUGUAACCACUAAUGAUUCCGUCAGAUUAGGGGACAGGUUAAGGUGGAACACAGGCCCACACAACAGGAUGUAACCACUAAUGAUUCCGUCAGAUUAGGGGACAGGUUAAGGUGGAACACAGGCCCACACAACAGGAUGUAACCAUUAAUGAUUCCGUCAGAUUAGGGGACAGGUUAAGGUGGAACACAGGCCCACACAACAGGAUGUAACCACUAAUGAUUCCGUCAGAUUAGGGGACAGGUUAAGGUGGAACACAGGCCCACACAACAGGAUGUAACCACUAAUGAUUCCGUCAGAUUAGGGGACAGGUUAAGGUGGAACACAGGCCCACACAACAGGAUGUAACCACUAAUGAUUCCGUCAGAUUAGGGGACAGGUUAAGGUGGAACACA